UGCAGCAGGCGCGAAACCUUUACACUGCACGACAGUGCGAUAAGGGGACUCCGAGUGCGAGGGCAUACAGUCCUCGCUUUUCUGUACCGUAAGGUGGUACAGGAAUAAGUGCUGGGCAAGACCGGUGCCAGCCGCCGCGGUAAUACCGGCAGCACGAGUGAUGGCCGAUAUUAUUGGGCCUAAAGCGUCCGUAGCCGGCCGGACAAGUCCGUUGGGAAAUCCACGCGCUCAACGCGUGGGCGUCCGGCGGAAACUGUUUGGCUUGGGGCCGGAAGACCCGAGGGGUACGUCCGGGGUAGGAGUGAAAUCCCGUAAUCCUGGACGGACCACCGGUGGCGAAAGCGCCUCAGGAAAACGGACCCGACAGUUCGGACGAAGCGCCAGCGUCUCG
rnacentral:rRNA from 1 species